rnacentral:rRNA from 1 species
CGCGUAGGCGGUCUGCUAAGUUGGAUGUGAAAACUCUGGGCUUAACCCAGAGCCUGCAUUCAAUACUGACAGGCUAGAGUUCUGGAGGGGAUAGCGGAAUUCCUGGUGUAGCGGUGAAAUGCGUAGAUAUCAGGAGGAACACCGGUGGCGAAGGCGGCUAUCUGGACAGAGUCUGACGCUGAGGCGCGAAAGCUAGGGAGCAAACA